rnacentral:rRNA from 1 species
UCGGGAAUUUUGGGCAAUGGGCGAAAGCCUGACCCAGCAACGCCGCGUGAAGGAUGAAAUCCCUCGGGAUGUAAACUUCGCAAGAACGGGAAGAAUAAGUAAGGGUUAAUAUCUCUUACGAUGACGGUACUGUUUGUAAGCUCCGGCUAACUCCGUGCCAGCAGCCGCGGUAAUACGGGGGGAGCAAGCGUUGUUCGGAUUUACUGGGCGUAAAGGGCGCGUAGGCGGCCACCGCAAGUCGACUGUGAAAUCUCCGGGCUUAACCCGGAAAGGUCAGCCGAUACUGCGGUGCUAGAGUGCAGAAGGGGCAACUGGAAUUCUCGGUGUAGCUGUGAAAUGCGUAGAUAUCGAGAGGAACACCUGCGGCGAAGGCGGGUUGCUGGGCUGACACUGACGCGGAGGCGCGAAAGCUAGGGGAGCGAACGGG